UCUUUGGCUUGGGCAAGUCACAUUGAAAAGUGAAAGUGAAGUCCCUCAGUCGUGUCCGACUCUUUGCGACCCCAUGGACUGAGGAGUCUACCAGGCUCCUCAGUCCAUGGGAUUUUCUAGGCAAGAGUACUGGAGUGGGUUGCCAUUUUCUUCUCCAGGGGAUCUUCCCGACCCACAUUAGGACAUGUGUAAAAGACUGUAAAGAAAAGACUGCAGUUGGAAACUGGUUUCUUAGAUCAUUAAACAAUCUUGGAUAUAGGUGAGCAUGGUCCAUACCACAUGCUCUUGUGACCUUUGAGAGCAAGGCAGCCAACAUUGAAGUGUAAUCAACAUGUAUGGAUGUGAGAGUUGGACUAUAAAGAAAGCUGAGUGCCA